GCUUGAUUGGCGUGCAUUUGGGGCCUGGCAGGAAGAAGAGGCUCAAAAAGAAACGUGGUCGCCAUCCCAGAAAAAGAGCUGAUGUUUCUAAUGAGAAAUCUCACCCUAGAGCUGUUCAACCACCAGAUAGAGCAGUUGCGCUUCCCUGUGGCUCCCUGGGAGUGAACCACAUGUGUAACAUGCAUUUGAUGGCUUCCAUCUGUCGCUCACUGGCUUCAUUAUGUAAG